AGCUGCAGUCGACGAAUCUCACUGCUGUAGCAAUACAGUGGUGGGGGAAGUGNCCNUNGGGGCAGUAAGGCGUGGGUAACCUACCCUGGGGACGGNUAUAGCCGGUCUAACGACCGGGUAAUCCCCGGCGAUUCGACGGAGAGGCCUCUCUCUGUCGGGAAAAGAGCUUCGCCUCGGGCGGGGCCCACGUGAUAUUAGCUAGUUGGUGAGGUAAUGGCUCACCAAGGCAAAGAUGUCUAGCGGGUGUGAGAGCACGACCCGCGCCACUGGCACUGAGACACUGGCCAGACACCUACGGGUGGCUGCAGUCGAGGAUCUUCGGCAAUGGGCGCAAGCCUGACCGAGCGACGCCGCGUGAGCGAAGAAGGCCUUCGGGUUGUAAAGCUCUGUCGAGGGGAAGAAAGCCGCAAGGUUGAUCGACCUCUGGAGGAAGCACGGGCUAAGUUCGUGCCAGCAGCCGCGGUAAGACGAACCGUGCGAACGUUGUUCGGAAUCACUGGGCUUAAAGGGCGCGUAGGCGGCGAUUCAAGUCCCGGGUGAAAGCCUCCCGCUUAACGGGAGAAGGGCCUCGGAAACUGGGUUGCUCGAGGGAGGUAGGGGUCACGGGAACUUCGGGUGGAGCGGUGAAAUGCGUUUGAUAUCCGAAGGAACGCCGGUGGCGAAAGCGCGUGACUGGACCUCUUCUGACGCUGAGGCGCGAAAGCCAGGGGAGNGAACGGNAUUAGAUACCCCGGUAGUCCUGGCCCCUAAACGAUGAAGACUANCUUUGUNGACUGGUCAUGGGGUUCACANGCGAANCCAAAAGUUGUUAAGUNCUNCCGCCUGGGGAGUAUUGNUCCCAAGGUUGAAACUCAAAAGGAAUUGA
rnacentral:rRNA from 1 species